AAGCUGCACGAGCUGAAGGUCUCACAUCAACUCGGAAUCUCUCUCUAGUACCUACGGAAAAGUACUCCACAACAAUCUUUCCAGCUGAAGCAACGACCGCGCAGCUGCGAGACGGUAACCGCCUCAGGGUCCUCGCUGCGAAACUGUUUUUAAAAUCCCUAGGGCCUCAUCUGCACGUUUAGCAUCCAACUUUCAGUUUCCAACUCCCACCAGCAAAGCAAAACAAAACAAAACAAAACAAAGAAGAUCAAAAGGUUUCAAGAUAUAGUGGGGUGUCUGCCUUCAAGGUGUCAAUUAAAGAGUUGAGAAAGUUCAUUGCUUGACGGUUCAUGAAAACAAUCAAGAUCUUCAUUCUCUGCUCGAUUUCAAGAAGGGCACCACCAACGAUCCAAUUGGAGCCAUAAACAGUUAGAUCAACAACACCAACUUCUGCAAAUGGAAAGGUGUGAAGUGCACCUUGAUGAAGACAUCCAUACUACUGAUACAUCUAUGCCAAUACAAGUAACAAUUUCUGGUCCCAUUACUCGCGCUCGUGCUCGUCAACUCAA